rnacentral:rRNA from 1 species
CCUACGGGAGGUAGCAGUAGGGAAUCUUCCACAAUGGACGAAAGUCUGAUGGAGCAACGCCGCGUGAGUGAAGAAGGGUUUCGGCUCGUAAAGCUCUGUUGGUAGUGAAGAAAGAUAGAGGUAGUAACUGGCCUUUAUUUGACGGUAAUUACUUAGAAAGUCACGGCUAACUACGUGCCAGCAGCCGCGGUAAUACGUAGGUGGCAAGCGUUGUCCGGAUUUAUUGGGCGUAAAGCGAGUGCAGGCGGUUCAAUAAAGCUUAUGUGGAAGACCUCCGGUCCACCCGGAGAUU